rnacentral:rRNA from 1 species
AGAGUUUGAUCCUGGCUCAGGAUGAACGCUGGCGGCGCGCCUAACACAUGCAAGUCGAACGGUUAAAGCACCUCCGGGUGUGUAUAAAGUGGCGAACGGCUGAGUAACACGUGGGCAACCUGCCCCUCGCACCGGGACAGCCUCGGGAAACCGUGGAUAAUACCGGAUACUCCGCCACCCCCGCAUGGGGGAGGCGGGAAAGCCCAGACGGCGAGGGAUGGGCCCGCGGCCUGUUAGCUAGUUGGUGGGGCAACGGCCCACCAAGGCGAUUAUGGGUAGCUGGGUUGAGAGACCGACCAGCCAGAUUGGGACUGAGACACGGCCCAGACUCCUACGGGAGGCAGCAGUGGGGAAUCUUGCGCAAUGGGCGAAAGCCUGACGCAGCGACGCCGCGUGCGGGAUGAAGGCCUUCGGGUUGUAAACCGCUUUCAGCAGGGACGAGGCCGCGAGGUGACGGUACCUGCAGAAGAAGCCCCGGCUAACUACGUGCCAGCAGCCGCGGU